rnacentral:misc_RNA from 1 species
AGCGGCCGCGGUAAUUCCAGCUCCAAUAGCGUAUAUUAAAGUUGUUGCAGUUAAAAAGCUCGUAGUUGAAUUUCGGGGUUAGUAGGUUGGUCAUGCCUCUGGUAUGUACUGGUCUCACUGAUUCCUCCUUCCUGAUGAGCCGUAAUGCCAUUAAUUUGGUGUUGCGGGGAAUCUGGACUGUUACUUUGAAAAAAUUAGAGUGUUUAAAGCAAGCUAACGCUUGAAUACAUUAGCAUGGAAUAAUGAAAUAGGACGUUCGAUCCUAUUUUGUUGGUUUCUAGGAUUGACGUAAUGAUUAAUAGGGAUAGUUGGGGGGCAUUAGUAUUCAAUUGUCAGAGGUGAAAUUCUUGGAUUUAUUGAAGACUAACUACUGCGAAAGCAUUUGCCAAGGAUGUUUUCAUUAAUCAAGAACGAAAGUUAGGGGAUCGAAGACGAUCAGAUACCGUCGUAGUCUUAACCAUAAACUAUGCCGACUAGGGAUCGGAUGAUGUUAAUUUUUUUAAUGACUCAUUCGGCGCCU